AUUGAACGCUGGCGGCAGGCCUAACACAUGCAAGUCGAACGAGCGGCGGACGGGUGAGUAAUGUUUGGGAAUCUGGCCUAUGGAGGGGGAUAACGACGGGAAACUGUCGCUAAUACCGCGUACCAUCGGAUGAGCCCAUGUUGGAUUAGGUAGUUGGUGGGGUAAUGGCUCACCAAGCCGACGAUCUCUAGCUGGUCUGAGAGGAUGACCAGCCACACCGGGACUGAGACACGGCCCGGACUCCUACGGGAGGCAGCAGUGGGGAAUAUUGCGCAAUGGGGGCAACCUGACGCAGCCAUGCCGCGUGUAUGAAGAAGGCCUUCGGGUUGUAAAGUUCUUUCAGUGACGAGGCGUUAAUCACAGAAGAAGCACCGGCUAACUCCGUGCCAGCAGCCGCGGUAAUUC
rnacentral:rRNA from 1 species